rnacentral:sRNA from 1 species
UUUAAACAAAUUUAUGUUAUCGAUGUGUUUCAUGUUAUCAUCGUUUCUGGCAAACAAAUACAGCAUGCAAAAUAGCAAAACGAUGGCAGAAAAACGCGAUUUAAGUAGUUUAACUGUGGUUAAAAGCAUACAUAUUGAAAAUUAAAUUGCAAUGGUCAAAAUUAUAUCGAAUAUAUUGACGUUGACAUGUGUGUAUAUAUAUUGUAUGUCUCUCUCUCUUUAUUGAGAUAUGUUAAAGAAUUGCCCGAACAUAAAACAAUUUAUGCGUCUGUAAUGAUAAACCUUUUAAAAAUACUAAGGAUUAAUUCGAAAAUAAAUAAAUAGCACUGGAUAUGCAACAUGCUGUAGAUGGAAGUACUUAAAGCGAAAAUUCUCCAAUGGGAUAGGAUCAUCGAACGGUGCCGAUACAGAACAUCACUACCUGCAGAGCAGCGAAAACCAUGUGCAAGGAGCGCAGUGGGAGAUUCAGCCGCUACUUACUGUACCUACCACGAAAUGAUUGAACACUGUUAGUGGGAGUACCUACAGGUUUGUUUGCGCCGCACGCAGUUAACAGCAGCAGUUGCAGAAAAUGCAUCUGCAACUCUCACCUACAAGGAAAAGAAAGUUCUUUCAAUUUUAACGGGCCACCAAUUUUAUGGAUGCGUCGGACUAUGACCAGCCUGCGAAUGUAUGCUGCAUAUCCGUUUACAUUACGCAUGGCGUUU